CCCAUCCAGGCUUGGCCUUUCUUUGCCGUAAUGGACGCCCCUUUCUUUGUCCCUCACACUGGGCAUGUGGUGUUUCCAUCCAAAAUCAGGACAGGGCGUCUGUCUGUGGCAUCAGUGUCCCCAGGCCUGGCUGAGGGCUCCUGCUCGUGACUGGCCAGCUUUCUCCAUUAUAUUCUAUGGUGUGCUGGUCACUGUCAACCAGCUGUCCCAGGCUUCCGGCCCUGGGCCCCGGCCGUGGCGAUUCCCAGGUGUGAAUGUGAACGCUCUGCACGGCAGCAGAGAGUCCCUUGCCUGCCUCGUCCUCUCAGCUGCAGCCCCUGCGGCAGACUGGGCUUGACUCUUCUUGGGACGCUCAGCAGGGACGAGCCUGAGCCUGCAGGGUUUCCAUAAGCGUGUGUGGACUGAAAUGUGGAUGGAUGGACAGUCAG
rnacentral:lncRNA from 1 species